AACGAACGCUGGCGGCAGGCUUAACACAUGCAAGUCGAACGAAGGCUUCGGCCUUAGUGGCGGACGGGUGAGUAACACGUGGGAAUUUGCCUCAUGGUACGGAAUAACUCCGGGAAACCGGCGCUAAUACCGUAUAAGCCCUACGGGGGAAAGAUUUAUUGCCAUGAGAUGAGCCCGCGUCCGAUUAGCUAGUUGGUAGGGUAAUGGCCUACCAAGGCAAUGAUCGGUAGCUGGUCUGAGAGGAUGAUCAGCCACACUGGGACUGAGACACGGCCCAGACUCCUACGGGAGGCAGCAGUGGGGAAUAUUGGACAAUGGGCGCAAGCCUGAUCCAGCCAUGCCGCGUGAGUGAUGAAGGCCUUAGGGUUGUAAAGCUCUUUCGGCGGGGAAGAUAAUGACGGUACCCGCAGAAGAAGCCCCGGCUAACUCCGUG
rnacentral:rRNA from 1 species